UUUAAAUUUUAAAGCUGAUGUAAAGAUCUUCUAGGUGUUUAGAAAAGCAAACCAUGGCCCACUACUAAGCGCCUAUCUGUCUGCCCCUUUUAGAUCUCUGUCCCCUUGACAGACAUGGGUCCUGGGACUCCUGUGCCUGGCCUCCUGGCCACCUGUCUGCUCCUGGGAGGGCUGUGGGAAUGCUCUGAAUUCUGCACAGCAGGUCUGCUCCAUGCCAAGUUGGCCGCUAGGCAGCUUCCUGGUGGAUGUGACCAACACAGGGACACGCUCUGGCCAGUUCAAGCUUCUGAGCAGAAUUUCUCACCUGAAAAAUUCAGACUUUUUGCAAAGGUUUCUCCCACAUCUAUGUGACUCUUGGAUAUCCUGCCUGCCCUGCCCUGUUUUUCCUUUGACCCAUCUGCUUUGUGAAGGUGUUCUGCAUGAACCCGAGUUUACGGUGACCCUAAACAGAUUCAAGACUGAAUGCUACAUCAUCAGUGAUGAAAAAUCCUUUUAGGAGCAGUGAGACCAUGAGAUGUGGUGAGUGGGUUUCCCUUGUGCACUGUCACUGACUACUUAGUCGCUAUCACCAUUCUGCUCCACUGUGUCAACUCAUUAAACUUGGCUUUCAUCUCCUAACAGGC